UGCCUACGGGAGGCAGCAGUGGGGAAUAUUGGGCAAUGGGGGAAACCCUGACCCAGCGACGCCGCGUGAGGGAAGAAGGUUUUCGGAUUGUAAACCUCUGUCCUUGGUGACGAUAAUGACGGUAGCCAAGGAGGAAGCCACGGCUGACUACGUGCCAGCAGCCGCGGUAAUUCGUAGGUGGCGAGCGUUAUCCGGAAUGAUUGGGCGUAAAGGGUGCGUAGGCGGCCUGCUAAGUCUGGAGUGAAAGGUACCGGCUCAACCGGUACAGGCUCUGGAAACUGGCGGGCUAGAGAGCAGGAGAGGGG
rnacentral:rRNA from 1 species